ensembl:miRNA Gm22401 predicted gene, 22401
AUGUGGUGUGUGUGUGUGUGUACAUGUACAUAUAUAUAUAUGUUCAUAUGUUAAAUAUAUAUACAUAUAUGUGCAUAUAUAGGCAUAUAUAUGUAUAGCAAUUUUUGAUGC